rnacentral:rRNA from 1 species
AGGACGCUUCCUUCGGGAAGCGAGCGUACACAGGUGCUGCAUGGCUGUCGUCAGCUCGUGUCGUGAGAUGUUGGGUUAAGUCCCGUAACGAGCGCAACCCUUGUCCUUAGUUACCAGCACGUUAUGGUGGGCACUCUAAGGAGACUGCCGGUGACAAACCGGAGGAAGGUGGGGAUGACGUCAAGUCAGCAUGGCCCUUACGUCCGGGGCUACACACGUGCUACAAUGGCCGGUACAAAGGGUUGCGAAGCCGUGAGGUGGAGCGAAUCUCAAAAAGCCGGCCUCAGUUCGGAUUGGAGGCUGCAACUCGCCUCCAUGAAGUCGGAAUCGCUAGUAAUCGUAGAUCAGCACGCUACGGUGAAUACGUUCCCGGGCCUU